AGUUUAAUUACCCAAUUUGAGGUGAAUGAAUGUUUAAAAGCCUUAUUGGCUUGAAAUAAAAUUUUGGAACGUCUUAUGCAUUAGUAGGACAAC
rnacentral:sRNA from 1 species